CUUUCAGUAAAAUGUCAUUUUCAAAACUGCUAGAGGAAGUGAAAACAUCUGCACCCUUCUUGUAUGACACCGUUCUUGCGUCCUUGACUGAAAGUUCUACUGGGGAAAACUUACGUUAUUUCAGAACUUUAAGCGUCUGGGGUUCUCCGUCAGCGAAAAGACAUUGCUAUCUAGCCUCGAUGUAUUGCGAAGAUCUUUCGAUACAAAGCUUUUAAUAUGGAAAGCUGAGUUGCAGGACUAUAUUUCUCCACCUGGAGUUGAAGCAGCAUCUCCUCUUCAAGAACGUCAUACUGUACAUUCUUCUCCUGAGAUUUCAGAAUCUGAAACCAGAAAUGCUUCUUCGAAAUCUGAUGCAGGAAAGUGAUAAAGAGCUGGAAGAUGUAAGGGAAGAAGACAAAGAAAGAGAUGAAGCUGAUAAGACUAUCCAAUACAGUGCCACUAUUGUCCCAAGAGGUUAUACAAUAUGUUUGGACAAUGUUGGAGAACAGGUGACAGCCAGACAUCACACAAGAAACCAGGGAAACAAAGACAAAAGCCGGGCGCUUGCAUAUGUAGCUAAAAACAGAAUACAAACUACACAUUUUGAUGACGAGGAAAGCGUCGCAGCUUCAGAAAUACCAACUGACAGUUUCUUUGUGACCAACGCUGAAGCAGGACUAGUAAGGGAGGAGAUGGUUUUAAUGGUGCAACGAAUAAUUACAGAGUACCUGUCACUUUUUCAGCCUCUUAAAGAUUCCGUUUUGGAAAGCAGACACAUGUAUGAGGCAGAAAGUGCAGGAAAAAGUGAACUGUUUAACAUAGGUGUAAUCAACGAAAACCCAUCAACAUGUGAUGGCGUAAUAAACAUUAUGGAACAACUUCACAAGUAUGUGCCAGUAAAGGCAGACGGCAGUCCAUUCAGAAUUUUAACAUGGGGCGAUGGACUAUCCUGUGAAAGGCACGUUGAUGCACAAAAUGCAAGAGCAAAUGGUGCUGACCUAUUUGCAAAGCUGCAAGGCCUAGAACCCGCUGCCCAAGAGUUCCACAAGAGAAUGAUUCUCAUGCAGGACACGAUGGAUAAGUUAUUUUCUGGGAAGAGUGCAUCUGAGAAAGGAACACUAAGUCAGUUAAAAAAUUUGUUUAACCAACGUUCUGUGAAGAGGAAUGUGUCAGAAUCCUUUGACAACGUGUCCGAUUUUUUGAAGUUUGUCACAGAAGGGUAUGUAGUGUUGUUUGCCUUGGACAUGAUGGAUCUUGAUGGUAUCAGCCAUGUUCCUGCUGACUUAGAUUAUAAUACUUUGGAAAAUGAGCUACAAAGGAUAUCCCAGGUGAUUGUAAACACAGUCUGGAACAAUAUAUCAAAAGUUCCGGUCGAAGAGACAGACGCUGAUGACUGCGAGUACUGCAUAUGUAAAGAAGAAAUAGACGAUUGUACAUUGAUAGAAUGUGAAAACGAAUCUUGUGAAUUUGGACAAUGGUUCCAUUUGGAUUGUAAAGGUCUUGACGAAGAUGAUCUACCUGAGACAUGGUAUUGUUGCCACGAGUGUGAGCUCUGUGCAGAUAAAGCUGCUGAAGACAUUGAUGGGAAGUUUGAGUACGUAAAGACUGUAAUCUGGCGGGGACUUUCUGACAUGAUACGGCGUGAUGCCGUUCGAAAGAACAAUGGGCCAAUGAUGGCAUUGUACUGGAAGGUUGACAUGUUAGAAUUCGCUAGGUACAACCACACUCAGGACCUGAUACUGGCUCAUAGGCUUAUAGCCAGUUUGAGUGGUUUCUUACCAGAACGCUUACGUCAGGACCUGCUUUGGAACAGAACUGUCAAUCUUCAUGGAGGGAGAGGAAAUAAUGAAGAGGCAGAUCUCGUAAAUGAAUUUCUCAACAUUGAGAAAGAAAGUCCUACAACUCAGCUGACCCUGGAACGCCACAGAAAACUUAUGGGGGGAUUGGGGUCAGUCAUUGAUGGGGUAUACAGACAACUGACCAAUGUUGUAAAAAAGCCAGGAAAGGAUACUUCUCCAAAAAGAAUCGAAGACAUCCAGCUUUUUGUUGAGUUUCUAAGGGAUGAAGAGCUUACACUGGAGAAAAAGGGGCGAAGUUUCAAAUCGUUUCCCAAGACAAGAAACGUUUUGAACGUGGACAUAACAAAAUUGUGCAAGAAAAUAAAAUUGUUUUCCGAAAAGCUUGACAGAGCAAAACGUGUAGCUCAAAUUCAUUGACAUGGUGCUUCGAAGAUCUCUGUUUGAUCCGUGGCCUAGGUCUGUCAGUGUUACUGUACUAAAGGAAUGAGAUUCUGUGACUGUUGAACUUUAUGAUGGCAGACCAGGCAGAUGACCCAAUGGGAGUAGCUGAUGCCUAUGCUGUACAGUUCUUUGGUUUCCUUCCGCAGUCCUUACUUAAUGGCAUGUAUAAUGUUGUAUGGGA
rnacentral:misc_RNA from 1 species